GCAGACUGCGAGUGAAAACCAGGGCAUGCUCUCGCACCACUGAUGCGGCACAAGCAGCGGAAACGGAUCAAGGGGGAGAAAGCUGAGGGUGAAUGGGACUCGGAGACGGACGUCUGCACCUGCUGUCUUCUUCCCAUGUUCAUUCUGCCCCUGCUAGUGGACUAUUGAAAAGACAGUCCUAACAAAGACUAGGAGACUGUGAAGACACAAGGAUCUCUUCCCAUCAGGGUUAACCUGAAGCCACCCUGAUGUAAGUGCAACAAAAGUGCUUCGCUGCUGCGUACAACCCGGGGGAUUAGCGACCGGAAUAUUCAGCAACUGGCUGCAAAGAUCAACUGGAGUGCCAGGACUGAAAGGAAAGGGAACAAACACAAUGGGGGGAGCCCCCCUACCUCAGCCUCUCUUUUAUGCCUCUCCAUCCAGGACCCAUGGGCUCUCUGCCAACUUGGAAUCUUAAGAACUCAUUCAGCAAAAAAAAAGCCAAAGAAAGGGACUUGUUUAAACCCAGGACCCAUUCGCUCACAGUCUCUUGUUUUUCCUUUACAUUUCUCACAUGAAGAGGGAUUUCUGGCUACUGUUUUCUCUGACAUCUCAUCUGAGGGGGGUGUGGAGCUGGGCGGAAGGGUUCGUGGUGGGGGGGGGGGGGG
ensembl:lncRNA